rnacentral:rRNA from 1 species
GACGUAGGGUCCAAGCGUUGUCCGGAUUUACUGGGCGUAAAGAGCGCGUAGGCGGUCCGUUAAGUGUAGAGUGAAAGCUCCGGGCUCAACUCGGAAAUUGCUCUGCAUACUGGCGGACUCGAGGACGGAAGAGGUUUGUGGAAUUCCCAGUGUAGAGGUGAAAUUCGUAGAUAUUGGGAAGAACACCGGUGGCGAAGGCGGCGACCUGGUCCGAUACUGACGCUGAGGCGCGAAAGCGUGGGGAGCAAACAGG